AUUGAACGCUGGCGGCAUGCCUUACACAUGCAAGUCGAACGGUAACAGGUUAAGCUGACGAGUGGCGAACGGGUGAGUAAUAUAUCGGAACGUGCCCAGUCGUGGGGGAUAACGUAGCGAAAGCUACGCUAAUACCGCAUACGAUCUACGGAUGAAAGCGGGGGAUCGCAAGACCUCGCGCGAUUGGAGCGGCCGAUAUCAGAUUAGGUUGUUGGUGAGGUAAAAGCUCACCAAGCCUGCGAUCUGUAGCUGGUCUGAGAGGACGACCAGCCAACCUGGAACUGAGACACGGUCCAGACUCCUACGGGAGGCAGCAGUGGGUAAUUUUGGACAAUGGACGCAAGUCUGAUCCAGCAAUGCCGCGUGCAGGACGAAGGCCUUCGGGUUGUAAACUGCUUUUGUACGGAACGAAACGGUGAGCUCUAAUACAGUUUGCUAAUGACGGUACCGUAAGAAUAAGCACCGGCUAACUACGUGCCAGCCGCCGCCGUAA
rnacentral:rRNA from 1 species